GACGUAGGGGGCGAGCGUUGUCCGGAUUUAUUGGGCGUAAAGAGCUCGUAGGCGGUUGCGUAAGUCGGAUGUGAAAACUCAGGGCUCAACCCUGAGACGCCAUCCGAUACUGCGCUGACUCGAAUCCAGUAGGGGAGUGUGGAAUUCCUGGUGUAGCGGUGAAAUGCGUAGAUAUCAGGAGGAAUACCGAUGGCGAAGGCAGGUCUCUGGGCUGACACUGACGCUCAUGCACGAAAGCGUGGGGAGCAAACAGG
rnacentral:rRNA from 1 species